GACGAACGCUGGCGGCGUGCCUAAUACAUGCAAGUCGAACGCAGUGGGGACGGGUGAGUAACACGUGGGUAACCUCCCAUCAGAGGGGAUAACACUUGGCAACAGGUGCUAAACCGAUACUGAUGGAUGGACCCGCGGUGCAUUAGCUAGUUGGUGAGGUAACGGCUCACCAAGGCCACGAUACAUAGCAGACGUGAGAGGGUGAUCGGCCACAUGGGGACUGAGCCACGGCCCAGACUCCGCUGGGAGGCGUCAGGAGGGAAUCUGCGCGAAUGAACGAAGUCCGGACCUAGCAACGCGGGGUGAUGGAAUAAGUUUUUCGGAUCGUAAAACUCUUUGUGUCGAGAAGCGUUAUCUAACCAGAAAUCCACGGCUAACUACGGGCCAGCAGCCGCGGUAACAC
rnacentral:rRNA from 1 species